UUCUUAUGUUGGGCAGUUGCCCCACAAGAUUAUCUUGUGGGGAGGAAAGUCCGAACAUUCCCUCGCCUCUGGCGGGGAGCAGGGUAGCGGGUAACGCCCGUCUUGCCACACCAAUAAAUUGGUGUGGCGAAGAGGUGCGAACAGAGACGCCAAGUAUCGAAAGAUACUUGGGCGCUCUAAACAGGAGCGUAGCCGAGCACUCAGUGUUCUGAAUGCUUGGGUGAAACGGCAAAAUCCUUACCUGAAUGCAAGGCCGAGUCCCGAAUUUUUUGAGGGAAGUGCCGCUUGAGCCUGAUAGCAAUUGAUGGCCCAGAUAAAUAACUGCACCUUGCCACACCAAUUCAUUGGUGUAGAAAGGACAGAAUUCGGCUUAUAGACAUAAGAACCAA
rnacentral:RNase_P_RNA from 1 species